rnacentral:rRNA from 1 species
CGUGUAGGCGGCUUCUUAAGUCUGAUGUGAAAGCCCCCGGGCUCAACCUGGGAAGUGCAUUGGAAACUGGGGAACUUGAAUACGGGAGAGGGUAGUGGAAUUCCUGGUGUAGGAGUGAAAUCCGUAGAUAUCAGGAGGAACACCGGUGGCGAAGGCGGCUACCUGGACCGAUAUUGACGCUGAGACGCGAAAGCGUGGGGAGCAAACAGGAUUAGAUACCCUGGUAGUCCACGCCGUAAACGAUGAGUACUAGGUGUUGCGGGUAUUGACCCCUGCAGUGCCGCAGCUAACGCAUUAAGUACUCCGCCUGGGAAGUACGGUCGCAAGACUAAA